UGUACAACGUGCAAAGAAGGUGGCAACAAUAUUAAUGGCAAUUCGACUGCACUUUAGCAUCACUAAUUGGUUGUUGCAAAUUGCUAGCAUAGUUUUUGUUGUAAAUGUGUAAUUUGUUGGCCUGUGAACGCAUAAUUGAAUGUGUCAAAUUGCUGUAGUACAUGUGCUUAUGCUUGCCACAUCGACCAAUUCGAGUGCGUAUGUGUGUGGGCGUCAGCUAGCAUAUAAUUAGCAAUUGAAACUGUUGCAACAACUGCGAACAAUUGCUCGAAGUAAUUAAAAAUCGUAUUAUAUUGCAAUUAAAUUAUUAACAAAAUUAAGUGUGCACAGAUAGAAACUAGAACAACAACAAAAAAUCAAUUAGCUUUCAUUUGAAAUGGCUUGGCCGUAACAUAAAUAAUACAUAGUACAGUUAAUACAAUAACAAGAAUGUUGGAAAGUGGAAAUAUGCUUAAGUUUAGUAAUAUUCCAUAUUUUAAUUCCAUAAAACCAAAAGGUUUAACCUUUUAAAAACAAUAUAGAAAUCGCAUAGCAAUUUCAAGGUUACUUUAUGGUUAUUUCGUUAUUAUCGUUUGAUUUCAUUCAAACAUACAAACAUUUACACAGAAAUUUAUGAUCAAUAAAGUCGACGGGUUAAUUGAAAUUCACUUGAAAAGGUGGGUAAAUAUUUUUAGUUAUGCUGCUGGCAAUUAACGGCAUGUUGGGUAUCCAUAAUGGACUUGAUUAAAAGGAUAAGGAAAAUAAUAUUAUUUUUAUACUCGCGCAAAAAAAAGGUUUGUAACACUUAAUUGGGGUCAUCCCAUGUGAUGGACUCAAAAAUUAUUUUUUUUAUAAAUUGUUUUCUGAACAUGUCUAGAAUACAUUACUAAAGUAAACUAAUUCGAAGUCAUUUUAAAGAUAAAGCAGUUAGAAGACGGAGCUGUUCGGAGCGGUGAGUUGACAGUUAGAAACUUUGAACGCGUUUUUCUUAAAACUGUGUUUUUUCAAAAUUUCCUCCAUCGUAUCUCAAAAACGGCUUGACCGAAGGACUAUGUAAACGUUUGGAGUGAACUAUUAACUAUCAAACAAAAAAAAUUCUCAACAUUAGUAAAACACAAAAUUCGCAUUCAACGUUUAUCAAAAGUCCAAUUUUUAAUGCAUUUAAGAUUUACAGAUUAAAAUGCCGCCUAUUUUUUUUUUUGUUUCAGAUAAGUCAAUCAGCCGGAAUUGUGGUGGAAGUGUGAGCCUAUUUUUUUCGAGGCGUGGGUGUUUAGAAGGCUAAUCCAGCAGAGCUUGAAGCAAGCAGGGGAUAUUAUAUUAUACCACGUUAAGGAAACCAUGUCGGAUCCCAUAUUUCGAAUGAAAAACCUACUCUGUCGGCCGGAAUCAUGUCAGCAGUUGGGGAUUUUUUUUGACACCUCAGUAAUACAGUAGUAUUUCAAUUACCUGCACAUCGAUUAUCCGAACUAUUCGACUCUAAAUCGUCAAAAUUAAGCCUAUCCAAUUCUUAAAUUAACCGCACGACAAUUUUAAAGAAAUGACAUAAGCAAUGAAUGAAAACUCUUGAAGGGUACGAUGAUGAUAAUAGUGACUGAACUGAACCGAUAAUGAAGACCCUGGAUUCCAAAUAUGAACUGGUGAAGAAAUUAUUAACGAUUUGAACAGUAAGGAGAGAGAAGAUGAUGAAGAGAUUGAAACUGAGGCUGUAUGUCAAGUACGAUACAACGCAGAAGCUUUUGAAGUUCUAGUUGUUGAUUUUAAGUGAUUUGAAAGACAGGACGCAUCGGAUCCCAUACAGUUGUUAAAAUUGAAGUGCAUCAGUGACUUGGCCACAAUGAAAAGAUGUGGCUCAUUACCUCAAAGAUCAAUCACAGAUUUUUAAAUUUUAAAUUACAUAUCGUUAUAUGUAGCUCUUGUUUCAUAUAUCGUAUUAUCUGAACGAUGCAUGUAAAACUCAUUACCCAAAAUUUAAUAGAUUUAAAAUAUUGUUUGAAGUGCUUUGAAAUCGAAUAUCCGGAUUUUCAAUUAUUCGGAAUAUCGCUAGUAUUAUUUGAUCCGGAUAAUAGGAGCUGGAACUGUAAUCACAGGAUCUUUGUUUCCACCAUGGACGGAUGUACGUAACCGGAACGGACGCCAAAGAGCGCAUAUCUUUUGGGAUGGAAUCCACAAAUUGCAUAAAGCUGGGAAAAGAUUAUAGUUUCAGAUGUUGUUCUAUAUAUUUUUUAAAUAAACGUUUAAUUUUUUUAUACCCAA